rnacentral:rRNA from 1 species
GCCGCGUGUAUGAAGAAGGCCUUCGGGUUGUAAAGUACUUUCAGUAGGGAGGAAGGUGGUUAAGUUAAUACCUUAAUCAUUUGACGUUACCUACAGAAGAAGCACCGGCUAACUCCGUGCCAGCAGCCGCGGUAAUACGGAGGGUGCAAGCGUUAAUCGGAAUUACUGGGCGUAAAGCGCAUGCAGGUGGUUUGUUAAGUCAGAUGUGAAAGCCCUGGGCUCAACCUAGGAAUCGCAUUUGAAACUGACAAGCUAGAGUACUGUAGAGGGGGGUAGAAUUUCAGGUGUAGCGGUGAAAUGCGUAGAGAUCUGAAGGAAUACCGGUGGCGAAGGCGGCCCCCUGGACAGAUACUGACACUCAGAUGCGAAAGCGUGGGGAGCAAACAGGAUUAGAUACCCCC